rnacentral:rRNA from 1 species
GGCUCAGGACGAACGCUGGCGGCGUGCUUAAUACAUGCAAGUCAACUUGACUUUAGAUAGCAAUAUCGAAAAGUAGGGUGGCGCACGGGUGCGUAACGCGUAGGUAAUCUGCCCUGAGGUCUGACAUAACCCGUCGAAAGGCGGGCUAACAUCAGAUGAUAUAUAAUCACGACAUCGUGGAAAUAUCAAAUCUUCGGAGCCUUGGGAUGAGCCUGCGUCUGAUUAGGUAGUUGGCGGAGUAAUAGCCCACCAAGCCUACGAUCAGUAGCUGGUCUGAGAGGAUGAUCAGCCACACUGGAACUGAGACACGGUCCAGACUCCUACGGGAGGCAGCAGUAAGGAAUAUUGCUCAAUGGGGGAAACCCUGAAGCAGCAACGCCGCGUGAAGGAUGAAAUACUUUGUAUGUAAACUUCUGUAAGAUGGGAAAAUAUUCUCCUCGGGAGAAUUGAUUGUACCAUCAGAGUAAGCCCCGGCUAACUACGUG